GUGAGGAAUAUUGGGCAAUGGGCGAAAGCCUGACCCAGCCACGCCGCGUGAGUGAUGAAGGCCUUCGGGUUGUAAAGCUCUGUGGGGAGGGAAGAAAAAGCGGGAGAGUAACUGCUCUCGUGUUGACGGUACCUCCUUAGCAAGCACCGGCUAACUCUGUGCCAGCAGCCGCGGUAAUACAGAGGGUGCAAACGUUGCUCGGAAUUACUGGGCGUAAAGCGCGUGUAGGCUGACAUGCAAGUCGGGUGUGAAAUCCCAGGGCUCAACCUUGGAACUGGACUCGAAACUGCACGUCUUGAGUACUGGAGAGGGAAGCGGAAUUCCGGGUGUAGAGGUGAAAUUCGUAGAUAUCCGGAGGAACACCAGUGGCGAAGGCGGCUUCCUGGACAGUAACUGACGCUGAGACGCGAAAGCGUGGGGAGCAAACAGGAUUAGAAACCCCUGUAGUCC
rnacentral:rRNA from 1 species